AAACCGGGGCUAAUACCGGAUGGUUGUUUGAACCGCAUGGUUCAGACAUAAAAGGUGGCUUCGGCUACCACUUACAGAUGGACCCGCGGCGCAUUAGCUAGUUGGUGAGGUAACGGCUCACCAAGGCGACGAUGCGUAGCCGACCUGAGAGGGUGAUCGGCCACACUGGGACUGAGACACGGCCCAGACUCCUACGGGAGGCAGCAGUAGGGAAUCUUCCGCAAUGGACGAAAGUCUGACGGAGCAACGCCGCGUGAGUGAUGAAGGUUUUCGGAUCGUAAAGCUCUGUUGUUAGGGAAGAACAAGUGCCGUUCAAAUAGGGCGGCACCUUGACGGUACCUAACCAGAAAGCCACGGCUAACUACGUGCCAGCAGCCGCGGUAAUACGUAGGUGGCAAGCGUUGUCCGGAAUUAUUGGGCGUAAAGGGCUCGCAGGCGGUUUCUUAAGUCUGAUGUGAAAGCCCCCGGCUCAACCGGGGAGGGUCAUUGGAAACUGGGGAACUUGAGUGCAGAAGAGGAGAGUGGAAUUCCACGUGUAGCGGUGAAAUGCGUAGAGAUGUGGAGGAACACCAGUGGCGAAGGCGACUCUCUGGUCUGUAACUGACGCUGAGGAGCGAAAGCGUGGGGAGCGAACAGGAUUAGAUACCCUGGUAGUCCACGCCGUAAACGAUGAGUGCUAAGUGUUAGGGGGUUUCCGCCCCUUAGUGCUGCAGCUAACGCAUUAAGCACUCCGCCUGGGGAGUACGGUCGCAAGACUGAAACUCAAAGGAAUUGACGGGGGCCCGCACAAGCGGUGGAGCAUGUGGUUUAAUUCGAAGCAACGCGAAGAACCUUACCAGGUCUUGACAUCCUCUGACAAUCCUAGAGAUAGGACGUCCCCUUCGGGGGCAGAGUGACAGGUGGUGCAUGGUUGUCGUCAGCUCGUGUCGUGAGAUGUUGGGUUAAGUCCCGCAACGAGCGCAACCCUUGAUCUUAGUUGCCAGCAUUCAGUUGGGCACUCUAAGGUGACUGCCGGUGACAAACCGGAGGAAGGUGGGGAUGACGUCAAAUCAUCAUGCCCCUUAUGACCUGGGCUACACACGUGCUACAAUGGACAGAACAAAGGGCAGCGAAACCGCGAGGUUAAGCCAAUCCCACAAAUCUGUUCUCAGUUCGGAUCGCAGUCUGCAACUCGACUGCGUGAAGCUGGAAUCGCUAGUAAUCGCGGAUCA
rnacentral:rRNA from 1 species